rnacentral:misc_RNA from 1 species
GUGAAUCAUCGAAUCUUUGAACGCAUAUGGCACCUUUUGGUUCUUACUAAAAGGUAUGCCUGUUUGAGAAUCAUUUCUACAUUUUCCAUUCUUGGACACUUUUGAUUGCAGGGCUAACUCUCAAUGGGUCAGCUUUCAAUUGAAUGACCAAGGGUGUGGAUACAUGGACCUUCAUCACUGAUCGUCUUGAAUUCAUGCACGGGACUGUUCGUGGUAUACAGAAUGUGAUGAUUGGUAGGAGUGUAUGCUCCCCCCCCCGUCUUCUACUUUGUGAUCGAUCAGUUCCCCCUUCUUUUUAUG